AACGAACGCUGGCGGCAGGCCUAACACAUGCAAGUCGAACGGGACCUUCGGGUCUAGUGGCGGACGGGUGAGUAACGCGUGGGAACGUGCCCUUUGGUUCGGAAUAGCCCUGGGAAACUGGGAGUAAUACCGGAUACGGUCGAGAGACGAAAGAUUUAUCGCCGAAGGAUCGGCCCGCGUUGGAUUAGGUAGUUGGUGGGGUAAUGGCCUACCAAGCCGACGAUCCAUAGCUGGUUUGAGAGGAUGAUCAGCCACACUGGGACUGAGACACGGCCCAGACUCCUACGGGAGGCAGCAGUGGGGAAUCUUAGACAAUGGGGGAAACCCUGAUCUAGCCAUGCCGCGUGAGCGAUGAAGGCCUUAGGGUUGUAAAGCUCUUUCAGUGGGGAAGAUAAUGACGGUACCCACAGAAGAAGCCCCGGCUAACUCCGUGCCAGCCGCCGCCGUAA
rnacentral:rRNA from 1 species